CCACCUAUGUCACAGAAGAGAUGAUCCCAUUAUAGGAGCUAAUUGAAGUUGGCCAUGAGGGAGGAGAACAACUAGUGACAAGGGAGCUAGGAGACCCCACCCUGGACGACACUCCUUUGUGUUACAAACAUCUGUCACGUGAGCAUGAUGAAUGGAAGAUGGCACAGCCCUAGCAGUCAGAAGGUCCAGAUCCAAAUGCUACCCACUCGGUCGUCUUGGGUUCCGGAGCAGCUCCCAGUGCGUGGCAGACUCUCAACAAAUACUGUUGAUGGAAUAAAUCCUGGCUCAUCUCCACACCUACGUAAACCUCAUCUCUAUCUAUCAUGGGGAAUUCUGGCCUUGACUCUUAUUACACGUUGGGUAAUCUAAUCUGAAUUAUCAAUUACAGUGACACCCGCAGUUCAGUCAAAAUAGUAGGAAGCUGGUAAUGUCCAAUGUCAUUUGAUCCAAUUUUGGAAAGAGACAAAAGAGCUAAGAGAAUGUUGAGGACAUGGUCUAAUUUGGGGGAUAGUUCUUUCAAAACUUUUCCAACAAGAUAUAGCUAAUAAUUUACAAUAGUGAAUAAUAAUACAGAGGGAUCUAAACACAAGUAUAAAGUACCGCCCCCAGGACAACAUACAUUUGAAGUCUCACAAUUUAUUUUUAAAAUCCAGACGAAUUUUAUGUUCUAAUUCAUUAUAUAUCUGUGUUUAAUAGAAAUUUUAUAUUCUAAUUCAUUAAAUAUCUGUGUUUGAUUUAAAGAAAUUUCCCCUCAAAUUGUUGAAAAAAAUGUGCCUUCCGAGAUGUGUCCUCUUUACCCUGGAAAACCACCAAGAACCCCCAAGUGCAUAUGAUCCAAGCUGAUAACCAUCUGGAAAUAAUUCUGGAGGAGCGCUGUAGGAAGCCCAGCUCUCACCCAUCCCUUACCGCCUCACUCACUUGCCCGCAUCUUCAUCUCAGGGAGGAAGAGCACUGGAACAAGGACCCCUAAGUGAACUAAGAGUCCCAAGGGGUGUCGAGUUUUGAGAUAGCAAAAAAAGGCUAAGCGUCUAUCUUUCUGCAUCAGUCUCUUUUCUGACAUCUCUUCUAAAUCAUUUCCCGGCUCUUUCUUUCCAGGUGCUUGGUGAAAGAAGAGGUCAUUCCUGAGAGGAGAGAACAUAGAGUGACUUAGUUUUCUCAAGACCAUCUGGUUAUUUAUGAUUGUUGUCCUGGCAGUAUUAAUAAUGCUUCCUUUUCAUUGGUAUCAUACAUGGUCACUCUAAGGGACAUCUUAUCUUCUACACUCUUACCCUCACUUUAAAGGACAACCAGGAACCAACCUAAAGAAUCAUACAUAAAACGAUGUAAGUCUCCUUCAAGUUCAUCUUCAUAUCAUCAAGGAAAAGGCAUCCUUGUGACUCACAUUUGUCGUUUAUUUCACCUACUAAGGAAAUCACAGUAGUAUUUGGUGUCCAAACCUUGAUUCAUGGUAAUGAAGUUUCCUUUGUCUCAAGUAUUUCUGCUCUUAGGAAUCUAUAAUCACUAUUGGUUAUUCAUUGAAAAUUGGAGGUUCAAGAUUCAGGCUAGUAUGCAUAUAUUAUAAUAAUAAUAUUUAUAGGGAGAGGAUAGAAGAAGCAACCAGGGAGGUAAGAGUGAAUUGGGUUAGUUAGUAGAAGUAUUUUAAAAUAAAAUAAAAUGUGACAAAUGGAAAAUAUUCAAAGAUGCCACAUGAAUUUGAACAAUCAGCUGUUUCAGUGACCUAGCAUUUGAAGGCAUGAAAGAGAAGGCCAUUAUCCCAUGAAUGUACCAAACAACAGAUUGCUGAGAUAGCAAUUAUGGUGGCUAUUGCGGGAAGUAUACUAGACCGAUGGUCCCAGCUGUGGUCCUUUGAAAUCCAUCAUCACCUUUGUUCUGAGGCCAUGGUUUCUGUGGCUGCUCUCAGCAUAACUAAGCACAGCAGUGCUAAGGCAGGUCCAUUCCGGAAGAUGCAGGAUGCCUCUGAUGGCCACCUUUAGCUUCAGGACUCCCAGGCAGCCUUGACAAAACUUUCUGGGAAUUGAAAUCUGAAGGUCUUUCUUCCUUGUUUUCCUUCCCUGUCUCCUUCACAGGGAUCAGUCCUGCACAGUGGUCUGAUGGCCCUCACAGCCUCCUCCAGCUCCCUCUCCAUUUUCUCCCACAAGAUUUUUCUCAAAAAAUAUCAUGCACCUCUAAUCCCAUCUUGGCAUCUGCUGCUCAGAGGACCUGAACUAACACAGUAAUUCAAGUAGGGAUCUAGUUGAGGGACAGAAAGAAUCAGGCCAUUUAAUGCACUUAGGAUAAUUUGAUCCAAGACCGAGGAAGAUUAAUAAGUGAUCAUAAAAGGAAAAGUUUGACCAGAUUUAAGAGGGAGCUUUCUGAGAAUAAGUAACAGAAAAGGCUGUGAUGGUGGAGGUGGAAGUGAGAGAAAUUGGGGUC
ensembl:lncRNA